rnacentral:rRNA from 1 species
UACAGAGGGUGCAAACGUUGCUCGGAAUGACUGGGCGUAAAGCGCGCGCAGGUGGCCUACUAAGUCGGCUGUGAAAUCCCCGGGCUCAACCCGGGACGUGCAGUCGAUACUGGCAGGCUCGAGUCCCGGAGAGGGUGGUAGAAUUCCCAGUGUAGAGGUGAAAUUCGUAGAUAUUGGGAGGAAUACCGGUGGCGAAGGCGACCGCCUGGACGGGUACUGACACUGAGGCGCGAAAGCGUGGGGAGCAAACAGG